GAUGAAGAAGUAGCGAAAUGCGAUAAGUAAUGUGAAUUGCAGAAUUCAGUGAAUCAUCGAAUCUUUGAACGCACAUUGCGCCCGGCAGUACUCUGCCGGGCAUGCCUGUUCGAGCGUCAUUUCAACCCUCAAGCCCUGCUUGGUGUUGGGGUCCCACGGCCGCCGUGGGCCCUGAAAGGAAGUGGCGGGCUCGCUACAACUCCGAGCGUAGUAAUUCAUUAUCUCGCUUAGGGCGUUGGGCGGCGCUCCUGCCGUUAAAGAACCAUCUUUAACUCAAGGUUGACCUCGGAUCAGGUAGGAAUACCCGCUGAACUUAAGCAUAUCAAUAAGCGGAGGA
rnacentral:misc_RNA from 1 species